rnacentral:lncRNA from 1 species
AGAAGGUUCUAUUUCCAGCAAGAACAAGAUGUUUCUUCCACCAGAAUUAGCACAAGACAGCCCGAGCCCAGCCAAGGUAAGCCAAAAAGUCCCCAGGGGAGGUUCAAACCCAGGGAGUUCAUGGGCAGACACCAAGUGCUGCAGACCAGAGAGGGGUCAAAGGGAGAGCCACGGGCCAAGGAGCAAAGAGCCGUGACACCCAGCAAGGUGGCAAGCACAGCCACAGACAGAUCUGGGCCACCUGCUGCCCAGGAGGUGGCCGCAGGGUACACAGCAUAUCCAUCGGCUUGGUGGAGCCGAGCCAGGGCAGGCAGGACACCUGCCUAGGCACAUCAAGAAAAGGGUGGCUGCAUCUGCCCCUCUGUCAUUCAUCUACUACAGAGAAAAACAAGGCAGUCCUUCCUGGUCCUAGGGUGGCUAUAUAGCUGGGAAUGGGCAGGGCUGCUUGGGGAGUUAGGGUGAAGGUAGGGAAUGCUUGGGAACGUCACGCCAGGGCCCCUUUGCCAGAAUUCCUCACAUUAAGAUGACAGAUAACCAGCAACGUCACUUUCAGCAGACAGUUUCUGCGAUAAUGGAAGCCACAAUUGUUACCAUCAGAUGUAAUUAAUCUUCAGACCAAUAAUGAAAUGCAUUGAUGAGCUUGUUAGUUUCUCCAUAUAGUGCAAUAAGAGUGUUUGAACUCAGCAGAUGUUUAUCUUCUGCCAGAGGACAACCCCUUCCCAUUCUUCCAGAGUAGGAAUAAUGUGAGAACAACCCACUUCACGGUCCACACCACAGGCCAAGACGAGAGGAGGAGGGGCUCCUGCCUAUGACCCAGAGGAGCAGAAUGACCACCCACCCCUGAAGGGCUCGCUAACCCCUCCUCAUAUCAGGGGGCUGGAAACUUCAGCGAACAAAGAUUUUAAUGAGCAGAAAGCUGAAGACCUGAACUGAUCUUAAAACUUCUACUGUGGUGCCCUUCAAACCAUUCUCCACACUUCAGCAAGAAGGAUCCUAUAAAAACCCAAAUGUUAUCCCCAUAUCCUUACUCUACUUAAAACUUCACUUUUCUCAGAACAUAGCCCCAUCAUGAAGCAACGCAUGACUCUGUGUGUGUGUGUGUGUGUAGAUAAAUGAAGCAAAAGUAUGAUUUGAUUUGAAUGAUUAGGAAAAGUUGCACCAUUUUCAGUGUCUUUAAUUUUUCUUUCUCCUUUGACGC